AGUGAACGCUGGCGGUAGGCCUAACACAUGCAAGUCGAACGGCAGCACAGUAAGAGCUUGCUCUUACGGUUGGCGAGUGGCGGACGGGUGAGGAAUACAUCGGAAUCUACUUUUUCGUGGGGGAUAACGUAGGGAAACUUACGCUAAUACCGCAUACGACCUACGGGUGAAAGCAGGGGAUCUUCGGACCUUUCGCGAUUGAAUGAGCCGAUGUCGGAUUAGCUAGUUGGCGGGGUAAAGGCCCACCAAGGCGACGAUCCGUAGCUGGUCUGAGAGGAUGAUCAGCCACACUGGAACUGAGACACGGUCCAGACUCCUACGGGAGGCAGCAGUGGGGAAUAUUGGACAAUGGGCGCAAGCCUGAUCCAGCCAUACCGCGUGGGUGAAGAAGGCCUUCGGGUUGUAAAGCCCUUUUGUUGGGAAAGAAAAGCAGCAGGUUAAUACCCCGCUGUUCUGACGGUACCCAAAGAAUAAGCACCGGCUAACUUCGUG
rnacentral:rRNA from 1 species